rnacentral:rRNA from 1 species
GACGAACGCUGGCGGCGUGCUUAAUACAUGCAAGUCAACUUGACUUUAGAUAGCAAUAUCGAAAAGUAGGGUGGCGCACGGGUGCGUAACGCGUAGGUAAUCUGCCCUGAGGUCUGACAUAACCCGUCGAAAGGCGGGCUAACAUCAGAUGAUAUAUAAUCACGACAUCGUGGAAAUAUCAAAUCUUCGGAGCCUUGGGAUGAGCCUGCGUCUGAUUAGGUAGUUGGCGGAGUAAUAGCCCACCAAGCCUACGAUCAGUAGCUGGUCUGAGAGGAUGAUCAGCCACACUGGAACUGAGACACGGUCCAGACUCCUACGGGAGGCAGCAGUAAGGAAUAUUGCUCAAUGGGGGAAACCCGUGAAGCAGCAACGCCG